rnacentral:rRNA from 1 species
GACGAACGCUGGCGGCGUGCUUAACACAUGCAAGUCGAACGGAAAGGCCCGUUUGGGGGUACUCGAGUGGCGAACGGGUGCGUAACACGGGAGUAACCUGCCCUUGACUUCGGGAUAACUUCAGGAAACUGGGGCUAAUACCGGAUAGGAAUCUUUGCUGCAGGGUGGGGGUUGGAAAGCUUCGGGGGGUUUGGAUGGACUCGCGGCUGAUCGGCUUGUUUGUGGGGUAGUGGCGUACCAAGGCGUUGACGGGUAGCCGGCCGGAGAGGGCGACCGGCCGCAAUGGGACUGAGAUACGGCCCAGACACCGACUGGAGGCAGCAGGGGGGAAGAUUGCACAAUGGGCGGCAGCCGGAUGCAGCAACGCCGCGGGCGGGAUGACGACCUUCUGGUUGGAAACCGCUUUCGGCAGGUGCGAAGCUUGUGGUGACGGUACCUGCAGAAGAAGCACCGGCUAACUACGUG